rnacentral:rRNA from 1 species
CUACGUGUCGCAGCAGUGAGGAAUAUUGCACAAUGGGGGGAACCCUGAUGCAGCAACGCCGCGUGGAGGAUGACGCAUUUCGGUGUGUAAACUCCUUUUAUAUGUCAAGAAAAUGACGGUAGCAUAUGAAUAAGCACCGGCUAACUCCGUGCCAGCAGCCGCGGUAAUACGGAGGGUGCAAGCGUUACUCGGAAUCACUGGGCGUAAAGGACGCGUAGGCGGGUUGGAAAGUCAGGUGUGAAAUCCUACAGCUUAACUGGAGAACUGCACUUGAAACUUCUAAUCUAGAGUAUGGGAGGGGGAGAUGGAAUUAGUGGUGUAGGGGUAAAAUCCGUAGAUAUCACUAGGAAUACCUAAAGCGAAGGCGAUCUCCUGGAACAUUACUGACGCUAAGGCGUGAAAGCGUGGGGAGCAAACAGGAUUAGAUACCCCAGAGUC